UCAAAACUAUUGCCAGAGAUGGAAAUAGAUGACAACUCCAAGAGAGAGCAAGUGCUUCAGGGUUUGCAAAGUUUGCCGAUAUCCUCACAAAUUGAGAAGUUAAAGAAUAGAAUUGAUAUGAUUGGGGCAGCCUGUGAAAGUGCUGAAAAAGUAUUAGCUGAUACUCGCAAAGCCUAUCAAUUUGGUACCCGACAAGGGCCAACAGUUCUUCCAACUUUAGACAAGAGUCAGGCUGCUAAAAUUCAAGAACAAGAGAACUUACUUCGAGCGGCUGUAAAUUUUGGUGAAGGAGUUAGAGUGACUGGAGACCAGAGGCAGAUUACAUCUGCACUUCCAAUGCAUCUAACAGAUGCGCUUACUGGGGGGGAUGGAAUGCAUAAUUUUUCUGAUUCUUCUGGGAUGUA
rnacentral:misc_RNA from 1 species